GGAGCUGCCAGACUUUGCAAAGUUUGGGCGCGGGAGGGCUCCACGGCGGCCUGCAGCGGGGGCUGGGGGAGGCGGCCCCGGCGAGCGGAGCGCCGCCGCCCGGGAGCUGCGCGGGGGCCGGCGGAGCGCCAAGCUGCGCCGGGCAGGGCGCCCAGGGGCUGCGGGCGCCCGCCUCGCUCGGCGCCCGCCGCCGGGGCUGCCAGGCCCCGCGGCCCCGCACAGCGCCCCCGCCGGUCACCAGCGCCGCUCACCGCGUCGUGACCCGGUUGCCGUUGCCAGCCGGCUCCCGGGCCCCCAGGGGCAGAGGCUGCAAAUCCCGUGGCUGCGGAGCGCGUCGCGGGACUCCCCGCGCUCCCGCCACGAGGGCGGCGGGCCGCGGCCCUUCCCGCGAGUCUGUCAGCCCCGGCCGCGCCCGCCGGCCCGCGCCGCCGCUCGAAACAAAGACGCCGCGCUGGGGCGGGCUCGGCCGCCGCGGGCCUGCGGCCACCGGGAUGCGCGAAGCGAGGCGCCGGCCCUGGGGCGGGCACGGGGCGGCGAGGCCGGCUCCAGGCGCGCGACCGCGAGGACCGUUAGUGCGCGUGAGGGCGGGGACCGGGGCACGAGUGGUGGGAAAGGCGGGAGCGAGCGCCGGGCCACAGUUGCCGCCGCCGGGCGCUGAACGGGCAAGCACUGCUCAGGUCUCGGCGGGGCUCCCCGGGCUUCUAGCGACUUCACCGCUCACCUGUCACGGGACACGUGUGUAACAGGUUCUUCUCGCCUCCAGGCUGCAGCGCCGGUUCCUCCCGGUCCACGCAGGCGUUUGUGUGAAGUGCUGAAGCGCGGUGCUCCGGCGGCUGCCGAGCAGGUCGGUCCACGGUGGCUGGAAGACCUUCUUCAAGGAGGGGCUCCUUCCAGACAGGCAUGACUCUCCAGUCUGGCCUCUGGCCCGAGGGGGGGGCAGAGGAGACCCAGCCCCCCGGGCCCAACUGGUGGCCCUCGCAGUGUCGGUUAACUCCUCUGAACCUUUGAAAAAUACAUGUUAAAAUACAGCCAUGCUCAAAUACUUCAGGAAAAAAAACCUUCUGUGUGUGGAUGGGUUUCUAUUAGAUGGAGAUUUGUGACUGAACUGGCCAGGCCCAAAGGAAUUUCAAGGCCACCUCGGAAAGCUGAGAACAGGACCUGCUGUGGGAGGGAGCCAGUUCUGCAGUAACGAGGCCUCAACAUGAUGUGCAUCAACGGACCUGCCAGCAGUGAGACUCCAGCGCGGGGACAGCUCGUGAGCAUCGAUGAUACUGUCAGUGAAUGUGUGUUCGGAGUGUGGACGCGUGACCAGAGGGUAGUUGCAUAUAUAAGGAGGCCUGUUUCUGUAAUAAAUGGCUUUGCGUGAUUCACGUUGAA